UACGUAGGGAGCAAGCGUUGUCCGGAAUCAUUGGGCGUAAAGCGCGCGUAGGUGGCCACAUAAGUCCGUUGUGAAAGUCAAAGGCUCAACCUUUGAAAGCCGAUGGAUACUGUGUGGCUAGAGUACGGAAGAGGCGAGUGGAAUUCCUGGUGUAGCGGUGGAAUGCGCAGAUAUCAGGAGGAACACCGGUGGCGAAGGCGGCCUGCUGGGCAGUGAGCUGACACUGAGGCGCGACAGCGUGGGGGAGCAAACAGG
rnacentral:rRNA from 1 species